CACUCUCUACAAUAACCUGAUAGGAGGUUGCAUUGAGGAGGUAACAGUGAUGGAACAAGAGUAUGCUUGCGCACCUCACGUCCCAAAUCUGUGGAAAUGAUCCUGGUUGCAUAUGUCAGUAAGGAUAGACGAAGGAACAAAAAGUGAAGACACUGAAACAUAGCUGCAAAGUAAUUCCUGACUUAGUGAGGGUAAUUCUCCUGCAUCAUUCCUUCAGAAACAUCAAACACAUUUGUUAACUGUAUAACGAGAAGGCAAAUCCCUGACAGAAAUUGGAAAAAUAAAGGGAAUCAACUUGAAGUCCCACAGUCAGAGAACAAAAGAAAGCUUAAAUAGAAGGAAGAAGCCCAUUCAAGUCAGCUACAGGAGCUGCCUACUCAAGCCAAAAACCUUGGGGUGAAUAAUGAGUUCCUGCCACAAAGCACCUCACCUUUUAAUGUAAUUUAUGAAAUGCAGCAGUUAUUUGUUGCUGUGGAGAUUAAUAACAACCACUUACAGAUAUGUGUAUGUAUGGUCCAGCAAGAGAUUACCAUUUCUUAUACAGUAGGAUAGAUUGCACAAUCAAAAAAUUUAUCCCUAGCAUUUCUAUGAUUUCUUUAGCUCUCUGUGGUGGAGAUGGAAAGACAUCUGCAGAAAACCGUCCCUGUUUCCUGUGUCAGGCAUUCAGCCAGAACAACUAUGUACAUCCAGCGUCUUCAUCAUUACACUUCUAAGUGAAGUCACACUAUGAAAACACACACUGUGAUUAAUAUAUGGGUGCAGUCAAGUCCCAGUUUUCCCUAGUAAAGGGAGUGCUGUAACUAGGCAAGAAAGCACUCCAGGGUAUGUAUUAACUCAGGUGUGCAGAAAGGCAUGAAACAUUAGGCUGAGUAAUUUUAAACAUGUGAGCAAUAUAUUAAUGGAUAAUUAAUAUGUGCCCUAGAGUGUAUAUAGCUCUUAGUCACAGUAAUAAAGCACAUUCCUAACAAUAAAUAAUUGCUAUCUUUGCAAACAAAAGGAAAACUCAGGGAUGUAUUGAGACAUUAGGUGUAGAAUUUUGGAAAAUGCCGAUUUAAGUAGUGCUCUAGGCUGUGCCUACAUACUAUGCUAUUCACAUUUGCUGAGUGAUGUACUUGUACAACUUGGUUUGUACUUUCACACACUCAAGUACAAAUCAACACUGCAGGGUUUAGAUUACGUGUCUGGGUUCAUUUGGAUUCAAAUAGCGUGAUAUGUUGACCAACUACGCAGGGUUACUCUCCUAUCAUUUAAGCACCUCAGAUUAACUUGUGUGUCAGCGUGGUCCAUCAGUAUUCAGAGUAAAUGAGAACCUCUUUAUCCUAGAUGAUCAGUGACCUCCAGAGCCAAUUCCACAAAAUGCAGCUUGCUGAGAAGGUCAGUGAUACUUUGAACAAUGGGCUCUGGAUCCACCUGAGAACAAGCUGCAUCUUCUGUAAUAGGCAAAGGCGUACCAGCUGGCAGUAGGCUAAACAUUUUUUUCCAGUCUCAUCAUACCAAAAAGAGAAGACAUUUUUUCUUUCGGAGGAUGCUUAACACCAACUUUGUACUGAACAAUGAGCGGGUGGAGUGAGGUGGUAAAGUCUGCUACUAGCAUCUUCUAUGUAGGUGUGAAGAGCCAUCACCCAUCUAUUCUACAUGCCCAUCACCAGUUACACUGCCAAAAAUAUCAAUGACUUCAGUAGUCACAGUUUCCCCAAAAGCAGGGGGGUCCAUAGAUAAAAUCCAUGUGUGUUUUCUGACGCCUGCCAGCUCUUCUGUCUUCCUUACAAUAAAAGCACACCUGUGGUUGCUAGAUGCCUGUUUCCUGGGGAUGUUUAUCUGUUCAUCCUAAACUGUCUUUCUAAGUCUGCUCUUUGACAAAGAACAAUAAAUCAGAAAAGGGUAUGCAGGAAGGAAGCAUGUGGAAGAAACAGAGUUCUUAGGGUACUUUUGCAAUAUCCUCAGCAACAUGACUCUAAUGUGUCUCAGUUUUACUCAUAAUUGUUAGUGAUCACAGUGGUCAUCGGCUGUACUUGUUCUCUGUGGUGUCAUUUUGUCAUAUCUGGCUCAAAACAUCGUCUCAGAGAGACAAUGAAAAAACUGCUCCAUGUGGAAGUCAGCUAUAAAUGCAAUAAAAAGUCUGUGUUUAUU
rnacentral:lncRNA from 1 species